UAAUGGUGAAGUGCAAUGCAGAGCCUUCCAGUGAGGAUGUUGCUUCAAAACCCAAAAAACUUAUUGGCUAGAUGAAGGUGCAAGGAGCCACCCCUUUCUACUACCGAAAGAUCCGUAGUGGAGGCUGGGCCAAAUGCUUCUUCCCUAACCAAAAAGGAAGAGGAAGACCUUCAACAUUUGAAGAAUCUUGGAAUAAAUUCUUACAGAAUGUCCAUUUCAUGGAGUAGACUUUUACCUAUUAAAUAAAUUUUUGCAUUAAUAAUAAUUACAAUCAUGCUAAUAUAUGUUAUUUUUAAUUAUUUAUAUUUUUUCUGAUGGGAUAUGAAUCAGAAAAAAUAUUAAUAAUUAAAAAUAAUAUUGAAUUCAAGGACGGUGCUUAUAUCAGCAACGUCUUU